UACAGAGACCUCAUGCGUUAUCCGGAAUCAUUGGGCGUAAAGCGUACCGAUAGGUGGUUUAUUAAGUCUUGGGUAAAAGCCGGAAGCUCAACCUCCGCGUUUGCUUAAGAUACUAAUAGGCUAGAGGGGCAAAGAGGAGAUUGGAACCAACGGUGUAGUAGUGAAAUGCGUUGAUAUCGUUGGGAACACCGAAAGCGAAGGCAGAUCUCUGGGUGCCACCUGACACUGCUAGGACGAAAGCGUGGGGAGCGAAUGGG
rnacentral:rRNA from 1 species